rnacentral:rRNA from 1 species
AGGACGAACGCUGGCGGCGUGCUUAACACAUGCAAGUCGAACGAAGCUCUCACGCUUGAGUUUCGGACAAGAGGUGAGAUGACUUAGUGGCGGACUGGUGAGUAACGCGUGAGCAACCUGCCCUCCGGUGGGGGACAACAGUUGGAAACGACUGCUAAUACCGCAUAAUGUACAGAGACCGCAUGAUCUUUGUACCAAAGCUUUAUGUGCCGGAGGAUGGGCUCGCGUCUGAUUAGAUAGUUGGCGGGGUAACGGCCCACCAAGUCGACGAUCAGUAGCCGGACUGAGAGGUUGAACGGCCACAUUGGGACUGAGAUACGGCCCAGACUCCUACGGGAGGCAGCAGUGGGGAAUAUUGGGCAAUGGAACGAAAGUCUGACCCAGCAACGCCGCGUGAAGGAAGAAGGCCUUCGGGUUGUAAACUUCUUUUGUCAAGGACGAUAAUGACGGUACUUGACGAAUAAGCCACGGCUAACUACGUGCCAGCAGCCGC